rnacentral:rRNA from 1 species
UGAGGAAUCUGUCCAUCGGCGGGGGAUAGCCGGCCCAACGGCCGGGUAAUACCGCGUACGUCGGCGGGAGCGCAUGCUCCUGCCGGGAAAGCAGCAAUGCACCGAUGGAGGAUCUCGCGGCCUAUCAGCUUGUUGGUGAGGUCACGGCUCACCAAGGCGACGACGGGUAGCUGGUCUGAGAGGAUGAUCAGCCACACUGGGACUGAGGCACCGGCA